GGUGCAGCAGAGCUGGGCUGGGCCCUUGCGGCACCCCGGCUCUCAGGGUCUGCCCAGACGCCCCAAAUCCUGUCAGCCAGUGAAAGAAGAGGAGGACAGCGAUGAGGAAGUGCGCAGGGCCCCAAUCGAGCUGUUUGCUGAGUUCCUGAAGUCGGUAAUGGAUAAGAAUUACGUCCUUGCAAAGAAACUCUGCCAAAUGAUUCUUAUUUAUGAGCCUGAGAACCCAGAGGCCAAACAAUUCAUUCCCCUCAUUGAAGAGAAGUUGCUUUUAGG